AGUCAUAUGCUUGUCUCAAAGAUUAAGCCAUGCAUGUCUCAGUAUAAGCUUCUAUAUGGUGAAACUGCGAAUGGCUCAUUAAAACAGUUAUAAUUUAUAUGAUGAUCAUUAUUACAUGGAUACCCGUGGUAAUUCUAGAGCUAAUACAUGCAUAAAAAUCCAACUUCUAGGAAGGGUUGUGCUUAUUAGCUUUCAAAACUAACUCAAGCCCUGCUUGGUUCACUGGUGAUUCAUAAUGUGGAUCUAAUCGCAUAGCAUCUGCUGGCGAUAAAUCAUUUAAGUUUCUGACCUAUCAGCUUCCGACGGUAAGGUAUUGGCUUACCGUGGCAAUGACGGGUAA
rnacentral:rRNA from 1 species